CUGUCAUUCUAAGCCACAUCCUUAUCACUUAUGAGUAAAAUGUAUACGAAGGUUUUGGUCUUCUCUGAUUACAAUUGGUUUGUUACAGGCAGAAAUUAAGGAAAUGCAGAAAAACAAGGAUUCGGACCCUGCAUGCCACCCAAGGGUAAGUAAAAUACAAUGCUUGAGAAGGACACUUACAGGACCAUGGUAGUGAGUAAUUGUUUCUGAGUAACAGAUAUACGAAGGAGAAAGUCAUUGUUGUGUGAUAAGGACUGGGGUAUGUUUGUGAACUGUGAGGUAAUUGCAGUCCAACACUAGAUAGAGUGGUAGCUAGCUAUUAUUAGUUUUAUGUAUAGGAACUAGGAGUGGUGAGUUGUACAUUAUUAAACAUGUAUCGUCAAAUAAUGAAUUACAUGAGUUAAGUAUUGCUUUCCUUAUUUCUAUUAAUUUUUCUUGAAUUGAUUCUAGUUGAUUGUUCUCUGCUUUGAGUUUUGCAUAUCUGCUUAUUGAGUUUUCUUCAAUUUUUUGGCGUUGUUAAUUUUACUUUUCCUUUGAUGUAUUGAUAUGUUGUAAGCUNCGUUUUGUUUUCAAUCAUUGCUGUCUUGAGUUCUAUUUUGUGAUUUUGCUCAUAAAUUGUUUGUUUAAAUGUCUAAGAGAGCUAAUCUGAAAAUGUUCAUUCUUGAAUCAAGCCUAGCAUUCACGUUCCUCUUUUCAUUUCUUCUUCCUUGCCUAGAAGCCAUCAAAUCCUANGAAUCCAUUGUGCAAUGGGAGGUGAGAGGAAGCAAUUAUGUUUGGAGAGAAAUGGAAUUAUCAGAGUUAAGAAGGGAAUGAGUGGGAGAAGAAGUGGAAAUCACAGAAAGGAAAGGUAAAAAGAGUCUCAGGAGCUAACNAAAAUAGGAGAGGAAAACAAAGGCCAAGGAUAAGGAUAUUACUUUAAGUGGCGAGCAUGUUAGAGAGGGUCUAACUUGUGUAGUCUCAGUCAAGGUCCCAAACCCUGAGUUUGAAGGACAAACAAAGGUA